rnacentral:rRNA from 1 species
GAUGAACGCUGGCGGCGUGCCUAAUACAUGCAAGUCGAGCGAACAGACGCGGAGCUUGCUCCUCUGACGUUAGCGGCGGACGGGUGAGUAACACGUGGAUAACCUACCUAUAAGACUGGGAUAACUUCGGGAAACCGGAGCUAAUACCGGAUAAUAUAUUGAACCGCAUGGUUCAAUAGUGAAAGACGGUUUUGCUGUCACUUAUAGAUGGAUCCGCGCCGCAUUAGCUAGUUGGUAAGGUAACGGCUUACCAAGGCAACGAUGCGUAGCCGACCUGAGAGGGUGAUCGGCCACACUGGAACUGGGACACGGUCCAGACUACUAAGGGAGGGAGCAGUAGGGAAUCUUCCGCAAUGGGGGAAAGCCUGACGGAGCAACGCCGCGUGAGUGAUGAAGGUCUUCGGAUCGUAAAACCCUGUUAUUAGGGGAGAACAAAUGUGGAAGGAACCAUGCCCGGCUUGACGGUACCUAAUCAGAAAGCCACGGCUAACUACGUG